GAUGAACGCUGGCGGCGUGCCUAAUACAUGCAAGUCGAGCGAACGGACGAGAAGCUUGCUUCUCUGAUGUUAGCGGCGGACGGGUGAGUAACACGUGGAUAACCUACCUAUAAGACUGGGAUAACUUCGGGAAACCGGAGCUAAUACCGGAUGAUAUUUUGAACCGCAUGGUUCAAAAGUGAAAGACGGUCUUGCUGUCACUUAUAGAUGGAUCCGCGCUGCAUUAGCUAGUUGGUAAGGUAACGGCUUACCAAGGCAACGAUGCAUAGCCGACCUGAGAGGGUGAUCGGCCACACUGGAACUGAGACACGGUCCAGACUCCUACGGGAGGCAGCAGUAGGGAAUCUUCCGCAAAGGGCGAAAGCCUGACGGAGCAACGCCGCGUGAGUGAUGAAGGUCUUCGGAUCGUAAAACUCUGUUAUUAGGGAAGAACAUAUGUAUAAGUAACUGUGCACAUCUUGACGGUACCUAAUCAGAAAGCCACGGCUAACUACGUG
rnacentral:rRNA from 1 species